GAAUUCGAUUCGGUGUGACAAGGCCCGGGAACGUAUUCACCGCGGCGUGCUGAUCCGCGAUUACUAGCGAUUCCAACUUCAUGCAGGCGAGUUGCAGCCUACAAUCCGAACUGAGACCGACUUUCUCCGAUUAGCUCCACCUUGCGGUAUCGCGACGGUUUGUAUCGGCCAUUGUAGCACGUGUGUAGCCCCAGACAUAAAGGCCAUGCUGACUUGACGUCAUCCCCACCUUCCUCCGGUUUAUCACCGGCAGUCUCUGCAGAGUGCCCACCAUAACGUGAUGGCAACAGCAGACAAGGGUUGCGCUCGUUGCGGGACUUAACCCAACAUCUCACGACACGAGCUGACGACAGCCAUGCAGCACCUCUACGAGUGUCCUUGCGGAAGCUCCCUUUCGGGAGGGGUCACUCGCUGUUCAAGCCUGGGUAAGGUUCUUCGCGUUAAUCACUA
rnacentral:rRNA from 1 species